rnacentral:rRNA from 1 species
GAUGAACGCUGGCGGCGUGCUUAACACAUGCAAGUCGAACGAUGAAGCCCAGCUUGCUGGGUGGAUUAGUGGCGAACGGGUGAGUAACACGUGAGUAACCUGCCCUUAACUCUGGGAUAAGCCUGGGAAACUGGGUCUAAUACCGGAUAGGAGCGUCCACCGCAUGGUGGGUGUUGGAAAGAUUUAUUGGUUUUGGAUGGACUCGCGGCCUAUCAGCUUGUUGGUGAGGUAAUGGCUCACCAAGGCGACGACGGGUAGCCGGCCUGAGAGGGUGACCGGCCACACUGGGACUGAGACACGGCCCAGACUCCUACGGGAGGCAGCAGUGGGGAAUAUUGCACAAUGGGCGCAAGCCUGAUGCAGCGACGCCGCGUGAGGGAUGACGGCCUUCGGGUUGUAAACCUCUUUCAGUAGGGAAGAAGCGAAAGUGACGGUACCUGCAGAAGAAGCACCGGCUAACUACGUG